rnacentral:rRNA from 1 species
UACAGAGGGGGCAAGCGUUAUUCGGAAUUAUUGGGCGUAAAGGGCGCGUAGGCGGCUUUGCAAGUGGCGGGUGAAAUCCCUCGGCUUAACCGAGGAACUGCCUGCCAGACUGUGAGGCUUGAGACCGGGAGAGGUGAGUGGAAUUCCCAGUGUAGCGGUGAAAUGCGUAGAUAUUGGGAGGAACGACCAGUGGCGAAGGCGGCUCACUGGACCGGAACUGGACGCUGAGGCGCGAAAGCGUGGGGAGCAAACAGGGAGUUAAGAUGACCCUGGAGUCCCGAGAACCAACGAUCGUCCUGCUACCGUA